rnacentral:lncRNA from 1 species
GUGAAGAGAGAAAUAAGAGAGAGUGAAGAAGGAAAGUAAUCCCACUAAAUUGUGAGGUAUUUGUGAGAGAGUAAGUGAGGUAUUUUCUUCUAGUAAUAGAGAGAUUCUUAGUUGUUCUCCUAUUAUAGAGAGAGGUUGUAAUUCCCACAUUACUAGUAAAAUCCUUCUAUACUUGCCCGUGGACGUAGCCUAAUUGGGUGAACCACGUAAAUUCUUGUGUCUCAUUUCUCAUUUAAGCCUUUUAUCUUGUCGGGUUUGCAUGCCAGUAUCCUAACAGUGGUAUCAGAGCCUUCUUGGUUGGUGUUGUUAACACACAAAAGUUAUUCGUGUAUACGGUUACUAUUCACGUCUACGGAACUAUUCACCUAUACGGCACUAUUCAUCCAUAUGGUACUGUUCACUUACUGUUGGCGUAUAUAGAAAGUCAGUGCGGUGAUUAAAUACAGUCUAGGAAGUUCUGUCUAAGGAGAUUGGGUUUUAAGCGGGACCGUUUGUGACCCCUCCAAUCUUUCCUGGGAACUUACUUAGUGAAGUAUUAUUCACACGAUACUAUUUCUAUAUACGUUACAGAUCUGUGAAACGGUGAUAGCUGAAUAGAUCUCGGUGAAUACAAUGGCAGCAAAGUACGAGAUUGAGAGGUUCAAGGGGAGCAAUUUCUCACUGUGGAAAAUGAGAAUCAAGGCAAUCUUGAGGAAAGACAAUUGCUUGGCAGCAAUUGGGGAUCGGCCCGCGGAGAUCACUGAUAAUGCAAAAUGGAAUGAGAUGGAUGGCAAUGCUAUUGCUAACAUACAUUUAGCAUUAGCUGAUGAAGUAUUAUCAAGUGUGGCGGAGAAGAAAACAGCUAAGGAGAUAUGGGAGACUCUAACAAAGCUAUACGAGUCCAAGUCUUUGCACAUAAGAUUUUCUUAAAGCGGAGACUUUAUACCCUUCGAAUGGCAGAAACCACGUCGGUGACUGACCACAUCAACACAAUAAGAACUCUAUUUUCACAACUCACUACAUUGGGUCAACAAAUAGAGGAAAAUGAACGUGCAGAGCUUCUACUUCAAAGUCUUCCUGAUUCGUAUGAUCAGCUCAUUAUCAACUUGACCAAUAAUAUCCUCUCAGACUAUUUAGUCUUCGAUGAUGUUGCAGCGCUAUCUUGGAAGAAGAAAAUAGGCGCAAAAACAAAGGAGACAGAAACAGUUCAAACCAAGCUGAGGCGUUAUUGGUGUCAAGAGGAAGAUCAACGGAACGUGGCUCAGUGGGAGUCAAAGGCAGGGGAGGUCCAAAUCAAGAAGUAAGAAGAUGGUGAAAUGCUACAACUGUGGCAGAAAAGGGCACUUCAAAAAGGAUUGUUGGUUUAAAAAGGGUAUAGAGAAUACUGCAGAGUCAUCAAACCUCAAGGAUGUGUUGCAAGCACCUCAGAAGAUGGAGAGGUUUAUAUAGUGAAGCAGCAGCAACAAUCUCUACAGAUAGAGAAGAGCUCACUGAGGUCUGGCUAAUGGAUUCAGGAGCAACAUGGCAUAUGACCCCUAGACGAGAUUGGUUCCAUACAUAUGAACCUAUCUCUGGAGGCACAGUGUUCAUGGGUGAUAAUCAUGCUGUAGAGAUUUCUGGCAUUGGCACCAUCAAAUUGAAGAUGUAUGAUGGCUUAAUUCGUACUAUUUCAGGAGUGCGACAUGUGAAAGACUUAAAGAAGAAUCUUUUGUCCGUAGGACAAUUUGAUAGUCUUGGCUGUAAGAUCCGAACAGACAAUGGAAUCAUGAAAAUUGUCAAAGGCGCGCUGGUGGUUUUAAAGGCAAGAAAGACAGUUGCAAACAUGUUUGUAUUAAUGGGAGAAACACAUCAGGGGGCAGAAGCAUCAAUCGCAUCAGCCAGUCCUGCAGAAGAGAAGACGAUGAUGUGGCAUCAAAAACUAGGCCACAUGUCAGAGAAAGGUUUAAAGGUUCUCUCUGAUCAGAAGUUACUCCCUGGGCUUACAAAGGUUACUUUACCUUUUUGUGAGCACUGUGUUACAAGUAAACAACACAGGUUGAAGUUUGGCACGUCAACAACUAAGAGCAAAUGCAUCUUAGACCUGAUUCACUCUGAUGUUUGGCAAGCACCGGUUGUAUCCUUGGGAGGAGCAAGAUACUUUGUAUCAUUCAUAGAUGACUUCUCCAGGAGAUGUUGGGUGUAUCCGAUUAGAAGGAAGGCAGAUGUGUUCUCAGUUUUUAAAACCUUCAAAGCGCGGGUAGAACUUGAAUCUGAAAAGAAGAUCAAGUGUUUGAGGACUGACAAUGGAGGAGAAUAUACCAGUGAUGAAUUUGAUAACUUCUGUCAACAUGAAGGUAUCAAAAGGCAGUUCACAACGGCAUACACUCCACAACAAAAUGGAGUGGCAGAGCGGAUGAACAGAACUCUAUUGGAAAGAACAAGAGCAAUGUUGAAGGCUGCAGGUCUAGAAAAGUCAUUCUGGGCAGAAGCAGUCAAUACCGCCUGUUAUGUGAUAAAUCGAUCUCCUCUACUGCAAUUGAGUUGAAGACACCGAUGGAGAUGUGGACUGGAAAGCCAGCUGAUUAUUCUCGAUUGCAUAUAUUUGGAAGUCCUGUGUACGUGAUGUACAAUACUCAAGAGGUCAGCAAGCUGGAUUCAAAAUCCAGAAAAUGUGUAUUCUUGGGAUAUGCUGAUGGAGUGAAGGGGUAUCGCUUGUGGGAUCCCACUGCCCACAAGGUAGUCAUCAGCAGAGAUGUCAUAUUUGCAGAAGAUAAAAUGCAAAUGGAAGAAAAUAAUAGCAUUUUAAAGGAGACUACAGAAGUCCAGAUAGAAAAUACUCAGAAUCAUACUUCUUCUGAAGCUGCACCAGAGCAUGAAGAACAAGAACAAAUAGAGUCUGAAACUCCUGAAGUUCGACGGUCAACUCGUGAAAGAAGACCACCGGCUUGGCACUCAGAAUAUGUUACUGAGAGCAAUAUUGCAUACUGUCUUCUAACAGAGGAUGGAGAGCCAUCAACUUUCCAUGAGGCUAUCAAAAGCACAGAUGUAUCUAUGUGGAUGACAGCAAUGCAAGAGGAGAUUGAAGCUCUGCACAAGAAUAACACUUGGGAUCUUGUUCCGCUACCACAAGGAAGAAAGGCCAUUGGCAACAAAUGGGUUUACAAGAUAAAGCGUGAUGGCAAUGAUCAAGUGGAGCGGUAUCGUGCAAGAUUGGUGGUGAAAGGAUAUGCUCAGAAAGAAGGAAUAGACUUUAAUGAGAUAUUUUCUCCGGUGGUACGACUUACUACAAUCAGAGUAGUCUUGGCGAUGUGUGCUAUAUUUGAUCUUCACUUAGAGCAGUUAGAUGUGAAAACUGCAUUUCUUCAUGGAGAACUUGAAGAAGAAAUUUAUAUGCUCCAACCAGAGGGUUUUGCUGAAACAGGCAAGAGAACUUGGUUUGCAGGUUGAACAAAUCUCUAUACGGUCUCAAACAGGCGCCGAGGUGUUGGUACAAGAGAUUUGAUUCCUUCAUAAUUAGCCUUGGGUACAACAGACUCAGUUCAGACCAUUGUACGUAUUACAAGAGGUUUGAAGAAAAUGAUGUUUUCAUCAUUCUGUUGUUGUACGUGGAUGACAUGUUGGUAAUAGGCCCCAACAAAGAUCGAGUCCAAGAAUUGAAGGCACAGUUGGCUAGGGAGUUUGAUAUGAAGGACUUGGGACCAGCAAACAAGAUUCUAGGGAUGCAAAUUCACCGAGACAGAAGUAAGAGGAAGAUUUGGCUUUCUCAGAAGAAUUAUUUAAAGAAGAUCUUGCGACGCUUCAACAUGCAAGAUUGUAAGCCAAUUUCCACCCCACUUCCUGUUAACUUCAAAUUAUCCUCAAGUAUGUCUCCUAGCAAUGAAGCAGAGAGGAUGGAGAUGUCUCGAGUACCGUAUGCAUCAGCAGUGGGAAGUUUAAUGUUUGCCAUGAUAUGUACAAGACCAGACAUUGCACAAGCAGUGGGAGCAGCUAGUCGAUACAUGGCAAAUCCUGGUAGAGAGCAUUGGAAUACUAUUAAGAGGAUCUUGAGAUACAUCAAGGGUACCUCAGAUGCCGCAUUAUGUUAUGGAGGAUCAGAAUUUACUAUCAGAGGUUAUGUUGACUCAGAUUUUGCUGGUGACCUUGAGAAAAGAAAAUCCACUACAGGCUAUGUGUUCAUAAUUGCAGGAGGAGCUGUGAGCUGGGUCUCUAAACUUCAGACUGUUGUAGCGUUAUCCACAACAGAAGCUGAGUAUAUGGCAGCUACACAAGCUUGUAAAGAAGCAAUAUGGAUGAAGAAACUUAUGGAGGAGCUCGGGCACAAACAAGAGAAGAUUCUUUUGUAUUGUGAUAGUCAGAGUGCCUUGCAUAUUGCAAGGAAUCCGGCGUUUCAUUCAAGAACAAAACAUAUAGAUGUUCAGUAUCACUUUGUUCGCGAAGUGGUGGAAGAUGGAAGUGUGGAUUUUCAGAAGGUUCACACAAAGGAAAACCCAGCAGAUGCUUUAACCAAACCAGUCAACACUGAUAAGUAUAUAUGGUGCAGAUCCUCUUAUGGCCUAGCAGAAACGUAAGCAGCAUGAAGAUGGCAAGUAUUGAAAGGAUAGAAGAAUCACAAUGAUCAAGUGUGAAGACUUGAUUAAAUCAUCAAAGUCUUCAAGUGGGAGAAUGUGAAGAUAGUUGGCCACUUGCCAACUUGGCCAACUUGGCCACUUGGCCACUUGGCCAACUUGGCCACUUGGCAACUUGCUCCUUCAUGGAUGCUUGCCUAUAAAUAGGCAAGCAUCCAAGCAUUAUACAUGCCAAGUGAAGAGAGAAAUAAGAGAGAGUGAAGAAGGAAAGUAAUCCCACUAAAUUGUGAGGUAUUUGUGAGAGAGUAAGUGAGGUAUUUUCUUCUAGUAAUAGAGAGAUUCUUAGUUGUUCUCCUAUUAUAGAGAGAGGUUGUAAUUCCCACAUUACUAGUAAAAUCCUUCUAUACUUGCCCGUGGACGUAGCCUAAUUGGGUGAACCACGUAAAUUCUUGUGUCUCAUUUCUCAUUUAAGCCUUUUAUCUUGUCGGGUUUGCAUGCCAG